UACAGAGGUCUCAAGCGUGUUCGGAUUCAUUGGGCGUAAAGGGUGCGUAGGUGGCGCCGUAAGUCGGGUGUGAAAUUUCGGAGCUUAACUCCGAAACUGCAUUCGAUACUGCGGUGCUUGAGGACUGGAGAGGAGACUGGAAUUUGACGGUGUAGCGGUGAAAUGCGUAGAUAUCGUAAGGAAGACCAGUGGCGAAGGCGGGUCUCUGGACGAGUUCCU
rnacentral:rRNA from 1 species